ensembl:lncRNA
AUUUUUUAGUUGGAGAUCCCUGCCUAUGUGAGAAUGCUGUAGGCCUUCUGAAGACCAUUGUGAACUUAUGGCCUUCAUAUUUCUGCAAAACUUAACACUGUGAAGAAUUCUGAGGCACAGAUUUCCAGAUCCACUGAAAAUGAAGGACAGAAAGAGAUUGAUGGGAAAAUGUUGCCUUCAAAAAAUGAAAAUGUUUUGCAGAAAUUUAUUGAUUUCAGCGAACUCUCUCCAAAACCCUCUCCUGGCAUGUACCUUUUGAUACACAGCAGCAGAGAUGGGCAUUUCUGCUGGUGGCAUUUCUUCCUGAGGCACUGCAGCUCACUGAACCUCCACACGCUAAGGGAUGUGGGCAACGUGUUGUCCUUAAAGUUGCAUUUAGUUUCUUUACUCUUCUUUUCUUCAAAUAGUACCUAAAUUCUUGUUAUUGAGGUUUAACCUAACCCUGUGGUGCCUGUAUGGCAUUCCCCACAGGUGUGACUGGAUACAGUCCCACUUGAGGCCAGACACUUUGAUUCUCAGAGUAAGUAGAGCGAAGAAGUCACAGUCUAGCCAUCUCUCCAUCAUUAUCUUGCUUUUCACCUGUCUGUCCCUUCACUGAGAAGUCAGAAAUGCUUUUUUUUUUCAUAAUGUCCCUUCAACUAACCAUCAGGACAGUUUGGAGCUUGUCUGUAAAUCAUUUCAAGGUAAUACUGAGAAAAAUAUGCUUUAAAGCAUGUACUUACUGUGAGAUUGAGUCCCACAGAGCCAGCCCUUCCCAUCAAACCCUGUUUGAUGACAUCCAAGAUGUUAAGCUGUGUGGGUGGAUGAUAGAAAUGCCAUUGUAAUCUCAACUGUUAUGGAAUAACAAGACAGCCAAAAGCCUAUGCUCCUGAAUGGACUUGAAGCCCGCCUCAGAGUUUGCACCUGGAAACCAUCUUAUAGCAGUGGUGGAGGAAGGAUAGCUUUCUCCUGGAAAAAAAUUAGGUACUUAGGUAUCUAAGUGCUACCAAAUGGACAUGCAAUUAUUUGGAAACUAUGUAAAACUUUAUUUCUGCUUCCUGAAUCACAAAUGCCAUCUU